rnacentral:rRNA from 1 species
AUUGAACGCUGGCGGCAUGCCUUACACAUGCAAGUCGAACGGCAGCGGGGGAGAAGCUUGCUUUUCCUGCCGGCGAGUGGCGAACGGGUGAGUAAUACAUCGGAACGUGCCCUGUAGUGGGGGAUAACUAGUCGAAAGAUUAGCUAAUACCGCAUACGACCUGAGGGUGAAAGUGGGGGACCGCAGGGCCUCAUGCUAUAGGAGCGGCCGAUGUCUGAUUAGCUAGUUGGUGGGGUAAAGGCCUACCAAGGCGACGAUCAGUAGCUGGUCUGAGAGGACGAUCAGCCACACUGGGACUGAGACACGGCCCAGACUCCUACGGGAGGCAGCAGUGGGGAAUUUUGGACAAUGGGCGAAAGCCUGAUCCAGCAAUGCCGCGUGUGUGAAGAAGGCCUUCGGGUUGUAAAGCACUUUUGUCCGGAAAGAAAUGGCUCUGGUUAAUACCUGGGGUCCAUGACGGUACCGUAAGAAUAAGCACCGGCUAACUACGUGCCAGCCGCCGCCGUAA